AUGACAUAAAUAAAAGAAAGAUGUCGAGAGAAAGUCUUAGCCCUUAAAAUGCGUUGCGAAGAGAGAUCGAAGACGAAGAUUUUCUGACGCAGUGCGGGCACUGGAUGGAAAAGACAGAUAAAGGAACAACCCACCGGAAGGGCAUACCUCAAGGGGCACCAAUCUCCCCCGGCAAAGAUCUAUCUGCGCGAAGCCGACCUAUGGAUAGAAAGAAAGAUGCAAUGACGCAGUGCAGGCACUGGAUGGAAAAGACAGAUAAAGGAACAACCCACCGAAAGGGCAUACCUCAAGGGGCACCAAUCUCCCCCGGCAAAGAUCUAUCUGCGCGAAGCCGACCUAUGGAUAGAAAGAAAGAUGCAGGAAAGG
rnacentral:lncRNA from 1 species